AGUGAACGCUGGCGGCGUGCCUAAUACAUGCAAGUCGAACGAUGAAGUCCUAGCUUGCUAGGAUGGAUUAGUGGCGCACGGGUGAGUAAUAUAUAGUUAAUCUGCCCUACACAGAGGAACAACAGUUGGAAACGACUGCUAAUACCUCAUACUCCUAUUUGACAUAAGUUAAAUAGGGAAAGUCUUUUCGGUGUAGGAUGAGACUAUAUCGUAUCAGCUAGUUGGUAAGGUAAUGGCUUACCAAGGCUAUGACGCGUAACUGGUCUGAGAGGAUGAUCAGUCACAUUGGAACUGAGACACGGUCCAAACUCCUACGGGGGGCAGCAGUAAGGAAUAUUGCGCAAUGGGGGAAACCCUGACGCAGCAACGCCGCGUGGAGGAUGACACUUUUCGGAGCGUAAACUCCUUUUAUCAGGAAAGAAUAAUGACGGUACCUGAUGAAUAAGCACCGGCUAACUCCGUG
rnacentral:rRNA from 1 species